rnacentral:rRNA from 1 species
UACGUAGGUGGCAAGCGUUGUCCGGAAUUAUUGGGCGUAAAGAGCUCGUAGGCGGUCUGUCGCGUCUGCUGUGAAAACUCGGGGCUUAACCCCGGGCCUGCAGUGGGUACGGGCAGACUAGAGUGCGGUAGGGGAGACUGGAAUUCCUGGUGUAGCGGUGAAAUGCGCAGAUAUCAGGAGGAACACCGAUGGCGAAGGCAGGUCUCUGGGCAUUAACUGACGCUGAGGAGCGAAAGCAUGGGGAGCGAACAGG